GAUCAUGGCUCAGGACGAACGCUGGCGGCGUGCUUAACACAUGCAAGUCGAACGAGAAUCUACUGAAAGAGUUUUCGGACAAUGGAAGUAGAGGAAAGUGGCGGACGGGUGAGUAACGCGUGAGGAACCUGCCUUGAAGAGGGGGACAACAGUUGGAAACGACUGCUAAUACCGCAUGAAGCAUAGGGGUCGCAUGAUUCUUAUGCCAAAAGAUUUAUCGCUUCAAGAUGGCCUCGCG
rnacentral:rRNA from 1 species